GCUGUGGCUCAGUGGAAAAGCUCCUGUUUUGUUUGUAGAAGGUCCCAAGUUCAAUCCCUGGCAUCUCCA
rnacentral:tRNA from 1 species